rnacentral:rRNA from 1 species
CUACGGGUUGCACCAGUGAGGAAUAUUGCACAAUGGGGGGAACCCUGAUGCAGCAACGCCGCGUGGAGGAUGACGCAUUUCGGUGUGUAAACUCCCUUUAUAUGUCAAGAAAAUGACGGUAGCAUAUGAAUAAGCACCGGCUAACUCCGUGCCAGCAGCCGCGGUAAUACGGAGGGUGCAAGCGUUACUCGGAAUCACUGGGCGUAAAGGACGCGUAGGCGGGUUGGAAAGUCAGGUGUGAAAUCCUACAGUUUAACUGUAGAACUGCACUUGAAACUUCUAAUCUAGAGUAUGGGAGGGGGAGAUGGAAUUAGUGGUGUAGGGGUAAAAUCCGUAGAUAUCACUAGGAAUACCUAAAGCGAAGGCGAUCUCCUGGAACAUUACUGACGCUAAGGCGUGAAAGCGUGGGGAGCAAACAGGAUUAGAUACCCUCGUAGUC